rnacentral:rRNA from 1 species
GUGGGGAAUAUUGGACAAUGGGCGAAAGCCUGAUCCAGCCAUGCCGCGUGUGUGAAGAAGGUCUUCGGAUUGUAAAGCACUUUAAGUUGGGAGGAAGGGCAGUAAGCUAAUACCUUGCUGUUUUGACGUUACCGACAGAAUAAGCACCGGCUAACUUCGUGCCAGCAGCCGCGGUAAUACGAAGGGUGCAAGCGGUAAUCUGAAUUACUGGGCGUAAAGCGCGCGUAGGUGGUUCAGCAAGUUGGAGGUGAAAUGCCCGGGCUCAACCUGGGAACUGCCUCCAAAAAUGCAUGGCUAGAGUACGGUAGAGGGUAGUGGAAUUUCCUGUGUAGCGGUGAAAUGCGUAGAUAUAGGAAGGAACACCAGUGGCGAAGGCGACUACCUGGACUGAUACUGACACUGAGGUGCGAAAGCGUGGGGAGCAAACAGGAUUAGAUACCCCGGUAGUCC